AACGAACGCUGGCGGCAUGCCUAACACAUGCAAGUCGAACGAUGCUUUCGGGCAUAGUGGCGCACGGGUGCGUAACGCGUGGGAAUCUGCCCUUGGGUUCGGAAUAACAGUGAGAAAUUGCUGCUAAUACCGGAUGAUGUCUUCGGACCAAAGAUUUAUCGCCCAGGGAUGAGCCCGCGUAGGAUUAGCUAGUUGGUGGGGUAAUGGCCUACCAAGGCGACGAUCCUUAGCUGGUCUGAGAGGAUGAUCAGCCACACUGGGACUGAGACACGGCCCAGACUCCUACGGGAGGCAGCAGUGGGGAAUAUUGGAAAAUGGGCGCAAGCCUGAUCCAGCAAUGCCGCGUGAGUGAUGAAGGCCUUAGGGUUGUAAAGCUCUUUUACCCGGGAUGAUAAUGACAGUACCGGGAGAAUAAGCUCCGGCUAACUCCGUG
rnacentral:rRNA from 1 species